AGCUUUCUUGAUUCGUGCUGAAAUUUUGUCAGACACCAACCCGCUGAAUGAUAAGACUUCUAAGAUAAGUGAAGUG
rnacentral:pre_miRNA from 1 species